CAGGUCGGGAGCAAUGGCUUCCUGGGUUCAGUGUCUCAUUUCCGGCAUUUUUAUUAAAUCGACAAAGAGAAAGGAAGAAGCGACUCUUCAGAAUGGAGAAGGAACUGGAACUUUAACCCGUUGAGGGGCAAAAUAAUAAUAAUAGUGAUAAUAAUGAAAUGAAAAAUGAGAAGCAGCUUCCUGUUAAGCAUUCAAUGGCGUUGCGAAUGUGCGGUCGAUUUACUCUCCCAGAGUGCAGUGCGGCCCCAGUCACUGAUAGAGGGCUUUCCCAUCCGCGGGGGAUUUUGGGAAAAGAGCCCGCCAUUGCACUGUCACCAGUAAGGACAUAAAGAAAUCUUAAAGGGGGACAGCCCAGGCUGAGUCUACGCCACCCAAAAGAUUGUGCACACAGGGAGUAAUCAGUCUUUGCCCAAGUGCUUUUGAGCCUUGUGUGAGAAGCCUUCCCUGGAUGCUUGUCAUUUGCCCUGCACACAUGCCCCGAUUGCAAAGCUUUGCUUUCGCCCAACGACAUGCUCCGGGUCCCCUUCAGCUGUUUAUCGCAGGAGAGUUAACCUCAGCGAUGUGACUGCUGCUGGAGAGUUCUUCCAAGCGAAGUACCUUCUGCUGGAGAGACGACCCGAGUGAAGUGAAUGAUGCUGGAGAGCCUACACGUGCGAAGUGACUGCUGCUGGAGAGACCACGCGAGCGAUGUAACUAGUGCUGGAGAGACCACCCUAGCGAAGUGACUGCUGCUGGAGAGACCACGCGAGCGAUGUAACUACUGCUGGAGAGACCACCCGAGUGAUGUAACUACUGCUGGAGGCUCCAUUGGAGAGAUCGCCAAGAUAAUCGGUACCAUUUGGUGCUCAGGAAACCACCAUCCCCAAUGUUCUCAGUGUCCAUGAGCUGUUCCAGGCCUCCUUCCUGUUAAGUCCUGAAAAGUUGGUUCGUGCAUGUUCUGGACCGGCGCGAUUUCAGGCUUUAAAGACACAUAGGGCAGGUGGUCGGGAGUCUGGGAGGGCUGGAAUUGGACGUAAUUGUUUGAAAAUGGCAAGUUACACUACAAAUAUGGAAUUUUAAUUCUAAUAUGCGAAAAAUUUUCUCAUCUACAUCGUUGCAAACUUACUAGUCAGAAUCAGUUCAUGUAUUUGUGCAGGUGUAGCAAUAAUUAAUUUUAUACUGCCGUGAAACGCCAUAGAUAAAUAUUAAAUUCAGACAAAAUGAAGGAUUCCAUUCAGAUCCCCUUGCUGCUGUCCACAUAAUUAUUCCCUGUGGCUUAACUAUGUUCCAUGUUGAAUGUUGAACUUGCAAACUACAUGUAUAAAUCCAGCAGCCUGCUGGACCCAGCUGCACGGCAGCAUCAGUUGUGCCUCGGGUCAAGUGCCACAUGGAUUUUUUAUCUCUUUGGCACAAGAUCAAUAUCUACAUUUUUGGAUAUGUAAUUUUUGAAAUCUAGGAAUUCGAAGUGUUUACAAGCUUUGAACGGAAUGUAUCUUUGUAAGAAUGACACACGUUCACAAACACUUACUUGAGAAAUUCUGUUCAGUUCUACAGGACUGAGUUCCAUGAAUUUAGCUAAAGUUUGCUGCAAGGAUAGUGAUCUGCCCUCAGCAUUAUGUACAUCCAAAGUGAUACAUUUGGUAUUUUAUUAUUUGAGGACAUCAUCGGUGAUGUUGCUUUCCAAACAUCAAGAAAGAAAGCGUUUCAAUGUUUUUGAAUCAUAUGAUGUGCAAACAGAUUUGCUGCAGUUUGUAUUACUGCUUCCUCUUAAUAAGCUGCUGAUUGUUCUAACAGCUUUUCUGUUUGUGUCGUCAAAAGUUUUCAUUUUUACCAAUAAACAAAUUGUGAA